rnacentral:rRNA from 1 species
AUGUGGGGCACGUCUUACAGACGUAACUUGGAUGAAAAGGUCUCGGAGAGGGUUUUGUAUGAGAUUCUUAUUCAGGUAGGUCGUGUAGUAGACUUGCACAUACCCCGUGACAAGGAAACUAGUCGACCCAAACGUUUUGCUUUUGCUGAGUAUGAAAUAGAGGAGAUUGCCCAGCUCCCUCGGCAUCAGCAGUCUUGGAGUUCAAACUUGCUCAUGCAUGUAGCCUUCUUAGGGUAUUGCAUAUUAUUAGCACAAUUGACAUCAAGAGAAUUUAUAGGAAAAUCAUUGCAAUCAUGA